rnacentral:rRNA from 1 species
GAAGCGUUUUCGGUGGCAGCCUGGGUAUAAAUCCUUUGGAAUAGGGUAUCAUAGAGGGUGAGAAUCCCGUCUUUGACUCAGUGCAUGCUACUAUGUGAUACGUUUUCAAAGAGUCGAGUUGUUUGGGAAUGCAGCUCAAAAUGGGUGGUAAAUCUCAUCUAAGGCUAAAUAUUGGCGAGAGACCGAUAGCGAACAAGUACCGUGAGGGAAAGAUGAAAAGAACUUUGAAAAGAGAGUUAAACAGUGCGUGAAAUUGUUGAAAGGGAAACGUUUGACACCAGUCAUGCGGGCGGAAAAUCAGUCUUUUGUAGUGGGGAAGCGCGUGGGUUCAGACCGCAAGGCUGGCCUAUGUGUUCUCUCUGCUGCAAGUGAUGCACUUUUUCGUCUGCAGGCCAACAUCAGUUUCUUCUGCUGGACAAAACUCUAAGAGAAGGUAGCAGCUUAGGCUGUGUUAUAGCUCUGGAGCGAUACAGUGGAGGAGACUGAGGUUUUCGCAGCGUGUGCUCUCGGGCAAGGCGGAUUGGGUGCUAUGAAAUCGUUCGG